ACAGUCAUAUCACAUUCAAACACCAAUUCUCAUAUGAUCACUGAAGUUAAACAAUGUUAAGCCUGGUUAGUAAUUAUAUGGGUGACCGCUUGGGAAUACCAGCUGCUA